UUCGUAGGCGGUGCGGCUAGUCGGAAGUGAAAUCUCUGGGCUUAACUCAGAGGCUGCUUCCGAAACUGCCGUGCUCGAGUGCGGGAGAGGCGAGUGGAAUUGCAGGUGUAGCGGUGAAAUGCGUAGAUAUCUGCAGGAACACCCGUGGCGAAGGCGGCUCGCUGGACCGCAACUGACGCUGAGGAACGAAAGCUAGGGGAGCAAACAGGAUUAGAUACCCUGGUAGUCCUAGCCCUAAACCCAUCAGGACUUGGGGUGUUCCGCGUACGCGGAUCGUCCCGGAGCUAACGCGUUAAGUCCUGCGCCUGGGAGUACGGUCGCAAGGCUGAA
rnacentral:rRNA from 1 species